CUGUGUGCUCCACAUGCUAAUUAUCUCUCCAUGAUUGUCCAAAUAAGCUUUGCUCCAUUCCGUCGUGCACGUCACCUGAAGAAACGAGCCCGCUAGCCAGAAGCGUCUGCUAUUGCCAAGCUCUAUCUUGACAAGAGGAGGAGGCAAUCUAAUCAUCCUUCAAUACUCAAUUCUGCCCUGCCUGCUGUUCCAAUUCCUUUUCCUUCAUUCGCGUGUACUCAUUGUUUCUUGCUUUUGCAGCUUGCCUUCAAGUCAAUGCAGCAGCCAAAACACGGUGUUGUCAUUUAAUGAAUCUGACGCUAAGGUGUUUGGCUGGGUGGCGGAUCUUCUUGAGGAAUGUUUUGAAGCCAGUAAAUUCCCGGAGCUCUGUCAUGGGUGUCCGCUUCAGUAUACUGCCAAGGAAGUCUCGCAGACUAUGUGUGGCAAGGUGACAGAUCCUCCGAGAAAUUCUCAGACCACAUCAGUGAUCGAUCCAGGUCCUGCUGCUGCUGGCAAUGUGAUUGAUCCUAAAGACUCUCAGUUGCCAUCAUUUACCGUGACUGGUCAAUUAGUUGAAAACCUCCAAACCUAAUCUAAGCCACUUGCCAUCGUUUCUGCUUCAAUCUGGGCUUUGUACUGCACGUGCGAUAUGUCAGAAUCCUUUGUUUGUCAUCUUCGCCAGUGUUCAAGUUCUUGUAUGAUACCCUGAAACAAAUAUGAUCCGUCUACUAGUUUCAGUUUUAUAAUUAAUCUAAUGGACGAUCUUCGCUGA